UCCGAGUUGUAAUUUGUAGAAGAUGCUUUGGGUGUAGCUCCGGUCUAAGUUCCUUGGAACAGGACGUCAUAGAGGGUGAGAAUCCCGUACGUGACUGGGUGCUUUCGCUCGUGUAAAGCUCUUUCGACGAGUCGAGUUGUUUGGGAAUGCAGCUCAAAAUGGGUGGUAAAUUUCAUCUAAAGCUAAAUAUUGGCCAGAGACCGAUAGCGCACAAGUAGAGUGAUCGAAAGAUGAAAAGCACUUUGGAAAGAGAGUUAAACAGUACGUGAAAUUGUUGAAAGGGAAGCGCUUGCAACCAGACUUGCACACUGUUGAUCAUCCGAGCUUCUGCCCGGUGCACUCAGCAGCGUUCAGGCCAGCAUCGGUUUUGGUGGGCGGAUAAAGGCCUUGGGAAUGUAGCUUCUUUCGGGGAGUGUUAUAGCCCUCGGUGCAAUGCGCCCUACCGGGACCGAGGACCGCGCUUCGGCUAGGAUGCUGGCGUAAUGGUUGUAAGCGACCCGUCUUGAAACACGGACCAAGGAGUCUAACAUCUAUGCGAGUGUUUGGGUGUCAAACCCAUACGCGUAAUGAAAGUGAACGGAGGUGAGAACCCUUAAGGGUGCAUCAUCGACCGAUCCUGAUGUCUUCGGAUGGAUUUGAGUAAGAGCAUAGCUGUUGGGACCCGAAAGAUGGUGAACUAUGCCUGAAUAGGGUGAAGCCAGAGGAAACUCUGGUGGAGGCUCGCAGCGGUUCUGACGUGCAAAUCGAUCGUCAAAUUUGGGUAUAGG
rnacentral:rRNA from 1 species